rnacentral:rRNA from 1 species
GGGUUGUGAGGUUAAGCGACUAAGCGUACACGGUGGAUGCCCUGGCAGUCAGAGGCGAUGAAGGACGUGCUAAUCUGCGAUAAGCGUCGGUAAGGUGAUAUGAACCGUUAUAACCGGCGAUUUCCGAAUGGGGAAACCCAGUGUGAUUCGUCACACUAUCAUUAACUGAAUCCAUAGGUUAAUGAGGCGAACCGGGGGAACUGAAACAUCUAAGUACCCCGAGGAAAAGAAAUCAACCGAGAUUCCCCCAGUAGCGGCGAGCGAACGGGGAGGAGCCCAGAGCCUGAAUCAGUGUGUGUGUUAGUGGAAGCGUCUGGAAAGGCGCGCGAUACAGGGUGACAGCCCCGUACACAAAAAUGCACAUAUUGUGAGCUCGAUGAGUAGGGCGGGACACGUGGUAUCCUGUCUGAAUAUGGGGGGACCAUCCUCCAAGGCUAAAUACUCCUGACUGACCGAUAGUGAACCAGUACCGUGAGGGAAAGGCGAAAAGAACCCCGGCGAGGGGAGUGAAAAAGAACCUGAAACCGUGUACGUACAAGCAGUGGGAGCCUCUUUUAUGGGGUGACUGCGUACCUUUUGUAUAAUGGGUCAGCGACUUAUAUUCUGUAGCAAGGUUAACCGAAUAGGGGAGCCGAAGGGAAACCGAGUCUUAACUGGGCGUUAAGUUGCAGGGUAUAGACCCGAAACCCGGUGAUCUAGCCAUGGGCAGGUUGAAGGUUGGGUAACACUAACUGGAGGACCGAACCGACUAAUGUUGAAAAAUUAGCGGAUGACUUGUGGCUGGGGGUGAAAGGCCAAUCAAACCGGGAGAUAGCUGGUUCUCCCCGAAAGCUAUUUAGGUAGCGCCUCGUGAAUUCAUCUCCGGGGGUAGAGCACUGUUUCGGCAAGGGGGUCAUCCCGACUUACCAACCCGAUGCAAACUGCGAAUACCGGAGAAUGUUAUCACGGGAGACACACGGCGGGUGCUAACGUCCGUCGUGAAGAGGGAAACAACCCAGACCGCCAGCUAAGGUCCCAAAGUCAUGGUUAAGUGGGAAACGAUGUGGGAAGGCCCAGACAGCCAGGAUGUUGGCUUAGAAGCAGCCAUCAUUUAAAGAAAGCGUAAUAGCUCACUGGUCGAGUCGGCCUGCGCGGAAGAUGUAACGGGGCUAAACCAUGCACCGAAGCUGCGGCAGCGACACUAUGUGUUGUUGGGUAGGGGAGCGUUCUGUAAGCCUGUGAAGGUGUACUGUGAGGUAUGCUGGAGGUAUCAGAAGUGCGAAUGCUGACAUAAGUAACGAUAAAGCGGGUGAAAAGCCCGCUCGCCGGAAGACCAAGGGUUCCUGUCCAACGUUAAUCGGGGCAGGGUGAGUCGACCCCUAAGGCGAGGCCGAAAGGCGUAGUCGAUGGGAAACAGGUUAAUAUUCCUGUACUUGGUGUUACUGCGAAGGGGGGACGGAGAAGGCUAUGUUGGCCGGGCGACGGUUGUCCCGGUUUAAGCGUGUAGGCUGGUUUUCCAGGCAAAUCCGGAAAAUCAAGGCUGAGGCGUGAUGACGAGGCACUACGGUGCUGAAGCAACAAAUGCCCUGCUUCCAGGAAAAGCCUCUAAGCAUCAGGUAACAUCAAAUCGUACCCCAAACCGACACAGGUGGUCAGGUAGAGAAUACCAAGGCGCUUGAGAGAACUCGGGUGAAGGAACUAGGCAAAAUGGUGCCGUAACUUCGGGAGAAGGCACGCUGAUAUGUAGGUGAAGUCCCUCGCGGAUGGAGCUGAAAUCAGUCGAAGAUACCAGCUGGCUGCAACUGUUUAUUAAAAACACAGCACUGUGCAAACACGAAAGUGGACGUAUACGGUGUGACGCCUGCCCGGUGCCGGAAGGUUAAUUGAUGGGGUCAGCGCAAGCGAAGCUCUUGAUCGAAGCCCCGGUAAACGGCGGCCGUAACUAUAACGGUCCUAAGGUAGCGAAAUUCCUUGUCGGGUAAGUUCCGACCUGCACGAAUGGCGUAAUGAUGGCCAGGCUGUCUCCACCCGAGACUCAGUGAAAUUGAACUCGCUGUGAAGAUGCAGUGUACCCGCGGCAAGACGGAAAGACCCCGUGAACCUUUACUAUAGCUUGACACUGAACAUUGAGCCUUGAUGUGUAGGAUAGGUGGGAGGCUUAGAAGUGUGGACGCCAGUCUGCAUGGAGCCGACCUUGAAAUACCACCCUUUAAUGUUUGAUGUUCUAACGUGGACCCGUGAUCCGGGUUGCGGACAGUGUCUGGUGGGUAGUUUGACUGGGGCGGUCUCCUCCUAAAGAGUAACGGAGGAGCACGAAGGUUGGCUAAUCCUGGUCGGACAUCAGGAGGUUAGUGCAAUGGCAUAAGCCAGCUUGACUGCGAGCGUGACGGCGCGAGCAGGUGCGAAAGCAGGUCAUAGUGAUCCGGUGGUUCUGAAUGGAAGGGCCAUCGCUCAACGGAUAAAAGGUACUCCGGGGAUAACAGGCUGAUACCGCCCAAGAGUUCAUAUCGACGGCGGUGUUUGGCACCUCGAUGUCGGCUCAUCACAUCCUGGGGCUGAAGUAGGUCCCAAGGGUAUGGCUGUUCGCCAUUUAAAGUGGUACGCGAGCUGGGUUUAGAACGUCGUGAGACAGUUCGGUCCCUAUCUGCCGUGGGCGCUGGAGAACUGAGGGGGGCUGCUCCUAGUACGAGAGGACCGGAGUGGACGCAUCACUGGUGUUCGGGUUGUCAUGCCAAUGGCACUGCCCGGUAGCUAAAUGCGGAAGAGAUAAGUGCUGAAAGCAUCUAAGCACGAAACUUGCCCCGAGAUGAGUUCUCCCUGACCCUUUAAGGGUCCUGAAGGAACGUUGAAGACGACGACGUUGAUAGGCCGGGUGUGUAAGCGCAGCGAUGCGUUGAGCUAACCGGUACUAAUGAACCGUGAGGCUUAACCUUACAACGCCGAAGCUGUU